UGGGCAACCUGCCCUCAGCUCUGGGACAAACUCCGGGAAACCGGGGCUAAUACCGGAUACGACCUUCCCUCGCAUGGGGGUUGGUGGAAAGUUCUUCGGCUGAGGAUGGGCCUGCGGCCUAUCAGCUUGUUGGUGGGGUGAUGGCCUACCAAGGCGACGACGGGUAGCCGGCCUGGGAGGGCGACCGGCCACACUGGGACUGAGACACGGCCCAGACUCCUACGGGAGGCA
rnacentral:rRNA from 1 species